rnacentral:snRNA from 1 species
UCUCGCUUCGGCAGAACAUACUAAAAUUGGAACGAUACAGAGGAGAUUAGCAUGGCCCCUGCGCAAGUAUAUCAAGAAAAUUUUAAAGAUUUAGCUAUGUAGG